GCUUACGGCCAAUACCAGCCCAAGAACGCCCGGUCUCGUCUGAUCUCGGAAGCUAAGAAGGCUUCGGCCUGGUUAGUACUUGGAUGGAAGACCUCCUGGGAAUACCAGGUGCUGUAAGGU
ensembl:rRNA 5S_rRNA 5S ribosomal RNA